AAGGAAACAUGUAAGAAACAACCUCAAUAACCUCCAGCUUCUUCUUCAAACAGAGACGUGGAUCUGUGCGAAGGAACCGGCGAUCCUUGUGCUACUUUCCAAUGCUUAACAUCUUCUCUCAUUUCAAUGCAUUAACUUCUGCCAGCUAACAAUCCCAAUAUGAAGAUGAAUUAAUCUCACAUUAUGGAAACUCAUAACCUCCCUUAAUAUUAUACUAUUAGAUUAUGAUUUCUUGUUUCCCC
rnacentral:lncRNA from 1 species